rnacentral:rRNA from 1 species
GACGGAAGGUGCAAGCGUUGCUCGGAAUCACUGGGCGUAAAGGGUGCGUAGGCGGCUUGGUAGGUCUGGUGUGAAAGCCCCGGGCUCAGCCCGGGAAGGGCACUAGAAACUGCCAAGCUAGAGUGCCGGAGGGGAGAGUGGAAUUCCUGGUGUAGCGGUGAAAUGCGCAGAUAUCAGGAGGAACACCAGCGGCGAAGGCGGCGCUCUGGGCCGGUACUGACACUGAGGAGCGAAAGCGUGGGUAGCAAACAGG